GCUGGUGUAGCUCAGUCGGCAGAGCACUCGCCUUGUAAGCGAAAGGUUGCAGGUUCAGCUCCUGUCGCCAGCCCCA
rnacentral:tRNA from 2 species